rnacentral:rRNA from 1 species
AGAGAAGCUUGCUUCUCUCCGGCGACGAGUGGCGAACGGGUGAGUAAUACAUCGGAACGUGUCCGCUCGUGGGGGACAACCAGCCGAAAGGUUGGCUAAUACCGCAUGAGUUCUACGGAAGAAAGAGGGGGACCCGCAAGGGCCUCUCGCGAGCGGAGCGGCCGAUGACUGAUUAGCCGGUUGGUGAGGUAACGGCUCACCAAAGCAACGAUCAGUAGCUGGUCUGAGAGGACGACCAGCCACACUGGGACUGAGACACGGCCCAGACUCCUACGGGAGGCAGCAGUGGGGAAUUUUGGACAAUGGGCGCAAGCCUGAUCCAGCUAUUCCGCGUGUGGGAUGAAGGCCCUCGGGUUGUAAACCACUUUUGUAGAGAACGAAAAGACACCUUCGAAUAAAGGGUGUUGCUGACGGUACUCUAAGAAUAAGCACCGGCUAACUACGUGCCAGCAGCCGCGGUAAUACGUAGGGUGCGAGCGUUAAUCGGAAUUACUGGGCGUAAAGGGUGCGCAGGCGGUUGAGUAAGACAGAUGUGAAAUCCCCGAGCUUAACUCGGGAAUGGCAUAUGUGACUGCUCGACUAGAGUGUGUCAGAGGGAGGUGGAAUUCCACGUGUAGCAGUGAAAUGCGUAGAUAUGUGGAAGAACACCGAUGGCGAAGGCAGCCUCCUGGGACAUAACUGACGCUCAGGCACGAAAGCGUGGGGAGCAAACAGGAUUAGAUACCCUGGUAGUCCACGCCCUAAACGAUGUUAACUAGUUGUUGGGAAGUAAUAUUCUCAGUAACGCAGCCAACGCGAGAAGUUAACCGCCUGGGAAGUACGGUCGCAAGACUAAAACUCAAAGGAAUUGACGGGGACCCGCACAAGCGGUGGAUGAUGUGGAUUAAUUCGAUGCAACGCGAAAAACCUUACCUACCCUUGACAUGUCAGGAAGCUCUUGUAAUGAGAGCGUGCCCGCAAGGGAGCCUGAAC